rnacentral:rRNA from 1 species
GAUGAACGCUGGCGGCGUGCUUAACACAUGCAAGUCGAGCGAAGCACUUAAGUUUGAUUCUUCGGAUGAGGACUUUUGUGACUGAGCGGCGGACGGGUGAGUAACGCGUGGGUAACCUGCCUCAUACAGGGGGAUAACAGUUAGAAAUGGCUGCUAAUACCGCAUAAGACCACAGUACUGCAUGGUACAGUGGUAAAAACUCCGGUGGUAUGAGAUGGACCCGCGUCUGAUUAGGUAGUUGGUGAGGUAACGGCCCACCAAGCCGACGAUCAGGAGCCGACCUGAGAGGGUGACCGGCCACAUUGGGACUGAGACACGGCCCAGACUCCUACGGGAGGCAGCAGUGGGGAAUAUUGCACAAUGGGCGAAAGCCUGAUGCAGCGACGCCGCGUGAAGGAUGAAGUAUUUCGGUAUGUAAACUUCUAUCAGCAGGGAAGAAAAUGACGGUACCUGACUAAGAAGCCCCGGCUAACUACGUGCCAGCCGCCGCCGUAA